rnacentral:lncRNA from 1 species
AGGAGACAGAUCUUUUUCAAAUAGGAAAAGGAUCAAAAGAUGAGGCGGGUGAAAAAGGAAUUAAGAUGCGUUAGGUGCACACACCAACUGCCCCCAAGGGAUGUAAACUGCACACGUGGAGUGAUAAAAAGAAAAAAAUAAUAACCUUGGUGCUGACAGGCCGGGGAGUCAGGGAGUCCAAUCAAGACAGCCAAACCUUGAAGCCAGGCUGGAUCUGAAUCUUAGUCCAUCGCUUACUGUCUUCGUAACCUUGAGCUUGAUAUUACAUGUCUCUGAGCCUCCGUUUUCUCAUCCAUAAAACACGGCUGGAAACCAUAAUACCCUCCAUGCACAGCUGCCGGAAGUACUAGGCAAAAAGGAACUAAAAUGUCUUUUACGGCACUCAGUCCUGAGUGAGAUCCGGCAAAAGGCAGUUGCGACUGUUAUCACCGUGACCUAUCUUGUCUGCUCCGGUUUACUCUUCACCGUGUUCGUGUUACACACUGCAGUCUGAAGAUCAGGCUCUCUGAUAAAGAGAGAAGCCAAACAGCGAGCAGGUCUGCCCGGAGGGGUGAGCGGAGCCUUUCCUUGUUCCUCUGGUUUUGUUUAAAGAGCACCAUUCUUGCACCAGCUGCAUCGGCUCUGUCUGAACUCGAGGCCUGCAGGAAUAAAACCUGGAGUAAUGAAUCAAACACAGACACAAAGAAAAAAGACUUCUGCCUGGCCCAGAAUAACUUGGCUUAGUGGGUCAGUACUGAGCCGCACAUGUGCUGUGCUGGGCUUCUAAAGUAAACUGCAGGCAAACCAGCAGUGGCCUCCUCAAAAGGAUUCACCUUCAAAUGAAGCCACGGAGACCACGGCCCUUUCUGAAGUUGAAAACCUCAGAAAGUAAUUAAGUUUGAAAGUAACUGAGAACGUCCUGAAUGUUUCCGUUUGAUCUGACCCGUGCUGCAGAACCACGAUGGCCAGAAAAAGGAGAAAUGAGCACUGUUCAAAAAGCUACAAUCGUGAGAAGUCGGCUUUGGCAGAAAGGAACUCAUGGGUGGGGGCAAGAAAAUGGGCGCCAAGGAGAGAAAAGGAGAGCAGGGCGUGUGCUGAGGACAGCCCCACUUCCCCAGCGAUCCCAGCUGCCCACACUGGGGUCCCCACGGCGGGAAGCAGCCCAGCACCCCACGACUGCAUUCUCACAGUGACGGCAGCAGGGGAGGAGACAUCCGAUGAGCCUGAGGUCUGUGGAGACUUCAUCCUGGUUUGGGCUUUUGUCAGAUGUUCUGUGGUUUUUCACUUUUUUUAUUAAGUUUUCUCUAUGCACACCCACAGCCAGCCAAGGCUAUCCACACCACGGGCUCAAAUACAAGCACGUACACGCAUGCAAGGAUCUCUGACCUGGGUAGUCCUCUGCAUAUGUCACCAGGUUUAAACUCUCUAAUAGAUAUUACUAUUUUUAUUUUACAGAGUGAGGAAACUGAACCUCAGAGAAAGAGAGUAACCAGCUCAAUGUCACACAGCUUCCCACUGGCACAGGCAAGACCUGAACCCAUGGAUUUCCAUCUCCUAAGCUCAUCUUCUCUGUUCUUUGGGACAUGAGCACUGACCUUGCUACCCAGCACCUUUCCUUGUUGCUAACAGCUCUUACAGGGGCCACUCCUUCCGAUAAACGUAAAUAUAAGUAAUAACUAUCAUAAGUGUGUUACUGAGAAGUAGCAGAGGCAUGGCAAGCAGGCCUAGCUAGGA